rnacentral:rRNA from 1 species
AACCAGCACCUCAAGUGGUCAGGAUGAUUAUUGGGCCUAAAGCAUCCGUAGCCGGCUCUGUAAGUUUUCGGUUAAAUCUGUACGCUUAACGUACAGGCUGCCGGGAAUACUGCAGAGCUAGGUAGUGGGAGAGGUAGACGGUACUCGGUAGGAAGGGGUAAAAUCCUUUGAUCUAUUGAUGACCACCUGUGGCGAAGGCGGUCUACCAGAACACGUACGACGGUGAGGGAUGAAAGCUGGGGGAGCAAACCGGAUUAGAUACCCGGGUAGUCCCAGCUGUAAACUAUGCAAACUCAGUGAUGCAUUGGCUUGUGGCCAAUGCAGUGCUGCAGGGAAGCCGUUAAGUUUGCCGCCUGGGAAGUACGUACGCAAGUAUGAAACUUAAAGGAAUUGGCGGGGGAGCACCACAGGGGGUGAAGCCUGCGGUUCAAUUGGAGUCAACGCCAGAAAUCUUACCCGGAGAGACAGCAGAAUGAAGGUCAAGCUGAAGACUUUACCAGACAAGCUGAGAGGUGGUGCAUGGCCGUCGCCAGCUCGUGCCGUGAGAUGUCCUGUUAAGUCAGGUAACGAGCGAGAUCCCUGCCUCUAGUUGCCACCAUUACUCUCAGGAGUAGUGGGGCGAAUUAGCGGGACCGCCGCAGUUAAUGCGGAGGAAGGAAGGGGCCACGGCAGGUCAGUAUGCCCCGAAACUCUGGGGCCACACGCGGGCUGCAAUGGUAACGACAAUGGGUUUCGAAUUCGAAAGGAUGAGGUAAUCCUCAAACGUUACCACAGUUAUGACUGAGGGCUGCAACUCGCCCUCACGAAUAUGGAAUCCCUAGUAACUGCGUGUCACUAUCGCGCGGUGAAUACGUCCCUGCUCCU